rnacentral:rRNA from 1 species
UACGAAGGGGGGCUAGCGUUGUUCGGAUUUACUGGGCGUAAAGCGCACGUAGGCGGAUCGUUAAGUCGGGGGUGAAAUCCUGGAGCUCAACUCCAGAACUGCCUUCGAUACUGGCGAUCUCGAGUCCGGAAGAGGUGAGUGGAACUCCUAGUGUAGAGGUGGAAUUCGUAGAUAUUAGGAAGAACACCAGUGGCGAAGGCGGCUCACUGGUCCGGUACUGACGCUGAGGUGCGAAAGCGUGGGGAGCAAACAGG